UGCCAGCAGCCGCGGUAAUACAUAGGUGGCGAGCGUUAUUCGGAAUCACUGGGCGUAAAGGGUCCGCAGGGGGCUACAUAAGUCUGAUGUGAAAGCCGGGAGCUUAACUCCCGAAGUGCAUUGGAAACUGUAUAGCUAGAGUAUAUGAGAGGCAAGCGGAAUUCGUGGUGUAGCGGUGGAAUGCGUAGAUAUCACGAGGAAGGCCAAAGGCGAAAGCAGCUUGCUGGCAUAUUACUGACCCUGAGGGACGAAAGCUAGGGGAGCGAAAAGGAUUAGAUA
rnacentral:rRNA from 1 species